rnacentral:rRNA from 1 species
GAUAAACGCUGGCGGCGUGCCUAAUACAUGCAAGUCGAUCGAUAGAAGUCCAGCUUGCUGGACGGAAAUAGAGGCGAACGGGUGAGUAAUACGUAAGCAACCUGCCCACGAAGACCGGGAUAAUCCCUGGAAACGGGGACUAAGACCGGAUAGGUACACAGACCGCAUGGUCUGUGUAUUAAAGGAGAGAGACACUGGUGGAUGGGCUUACGGUGCAUUAGCUGGAUGGUGAGGUAACGGCCCACCAUGGCGAUGAUGCAUAGCCGGGCUGAGAGGCUGAACGGCCACAUUGGGACUGAGACACGGCCCAGACUCCUACGGGAGGCAGCAGUAGGGAAUUUUCGGCAAUGGGGGCAACCCUGACCGAGCAACGCCGCGUGAGUGAUGAAGGUCUUCGGAUUGUAAAGCUCUGUUGUAAGGGAAGAACGGCAGUCUAGAGAAUAGGUGAGUGACGGUCCUUACCAGAAAGCUACGGCUAACUACGU